GCUAAAGACUGGAAGACAUGAGAAUUGAAAAACAUGUCUUGAAAGAUAAAAAGUAUUCAGGGUCGAUGUCAGCGUAAGCGGCGGCAACGGCUUAUCGGUGAUGCUCUCCGUUGUCAUUGGAAUAAGAGGCAUCUCCGUGGCCAGAAUCGUGCUGGGGCUGUCUCGAAGGGUCAUCCAGGCACUGAAGGGCACUGCUGCUGUAAGUCGGCCCCGUUCUGUCUCCAGAGGGUCUAUUACCCGUAAGACUCUUUUCAGCCCAAUGUCGACACCGUACAGACUCUUGUUAUUAGGAUCAUACCCAAGCAAACUUCUGAAGCGGGUACCGAGAGUUAAAAUAACGAUAGGAGAACUUUAUUUCAGGUGCGGGGCGUAGGAACCUGGUUAUUGACCUUUCCUGUUGGGGUACUCUGUGCAUUGUUUAGUUAACUGUAUAGCGGCGCUGGGGCCAAAAUAUGCAGCAAAGCCGUUAAGCUUGAAGAUUCAUCGUAUGUUUUGUUUUUCUUUUCCAUUUUUUUUUUCAAGACGCUAAUCAUGUUUUAUAUUGAUCCGCGGCCACGAUUGUUUUCAUAUUAUAAACCUUAUUCUCCUAAUAACCUCUUUUCCCAUUUUUCUUGCUUUUAAUAUUCUGUAUUCAUGGAUUAAAACAUUAGUUGUAUUAAUGAAUGUGUUCACUGGACUGAAAUGCCCCUUUCAGAGGUAAGCUCCAAGCACAUGCCCCUUUCUCGUUUCUAACCAAGAUUUCUCCCAUCAAGACCCCAAGAAAUUUAAGACGAAUAAAAUACUGGCACGGCGGCUCGCCAGUCUUUUGAAUGACGAAUAAUAUAGUAAGUGGUAGCUGGCAAUUUAAAUUUACCGUCUUUUCGAAUCAUCAUGUUUGUUACUUGUGGGGAAUUCCCUAGGUACGGGAGGCUGUUUCCCGUGGGGAAUUUUCUAGGUACGGGAGGAUGUUCCCUGUAGGGAAUUCCCUAGUUACAGAGGCUGUUCCCUGUGGGGAUUUCCCUAGUUACAAGGCUGAUACCUCUGGGGAUUUCCCUAGUUACAUAGGCUGUUCCCUGUGGGAUUUUCCUAGUUGCAGAGGCUGUUCCCUGUGGGGAGUUCCCUAGUUACAGAGGCUGUUACCUGUGGGAAUUUCCCUAGUUACAUAGGCUGUUACCUGAGGGGAUUUUCCUAGUUACAGAGGCUGUUCCCUGUGUGGAUUUCCCUAGGUAUCGCUAGGGACCAUGCCAAACGAGUGACGAUAAUGCUAGAUCAUGCAAGAUAGAUUGCUUAAUGUCAACUGGCUACCAGCAAGAGUACAGAAGACGCCCUUACCCAUCCAUGCAGAGGUCGCCCCUUUCUUGUAAUAACAAAAUGAACGACGCCUGUCCUCAGAUCUGGCGAACAGGAAAAUAGCUAGUAAGCAUUUAUACUUUUUUUAUAUCUAAGCGAGUGUUAACAAUAACAAAAUAAUGGCGGCCGAGUUCGAUUACACGUUCGGUUGAACUGUACCUGUAAGAAAAGCACCAGAUAUAAGUCGGUCAGAAAAAGGAAAUUUCAUCAACCAAUGUCUUUAACUUUUUUUCAGAUAGAAUAAUAUUAUUAUAUAUAUUAUAAUAUUAUUAAAGAAUUAUAGUUCUUUUUAGGGAGGUUAGCAAACGUAAUAAACAAAAAAACAUUUAAAGUUUACGUGUGAUACAAAUUAGAUUAAAGCGGACUCAAAUAUGGUAAAACUCCUGACAGGGUUUUGGCGAGUCAUGUAGCUACUGGAAGUCUUCCUUACCCAUAAUGCUCAGUGCUCCACAUGAACAGCACGUCCUCAGCAGGCAGCAAGAGCAUGCAAACGUGACCGCCCCUGCAAGAGAGAAAAUAGUACAGACAAAACCGGACAAAACCGGACGUGGAGGUUUUCUUCCUGGACCAUUGUCUUCGAUUACACCACUUUUUGGAAAUUGUGUAGUUCCAGAAAAUAUCCAUCCCCCCCACCCCCCAUUGAAGGGAUUGGAAAUUCCAAUCCCCUCAAUGGAACAAAAGAACAAAUUGCGUACGCUCAGAAAGUUUUAACUGUCCCACAAUUUAGAAGAUUAUCUAACGGACGUAAAAAAUAUUGACCAUAGGAUUGCCCUUACUAAAUUCAGGCUAAGCAAUCAUAAGCUAGCAAUUGAAACUGGAAGGUAUGAAAAGCCAUAUAAAAAACCUAACGAAAAAAAAUGCUUAGUAUGCCAGACAGGUAAAGUGGAGGAUGAAGAGCAUUUUCUGUUAGAAUGUCCGGCCUAUAAAGAUGAUCGGGAUAAUUUACUGGAUUUCCUUAAAACGCAUGCAGGUACAAAUGUUAGACACCAUGCCAACAAAGAAAAUAACUUCGUCAGAAUUAUGGGAUUGAGCCGGAAUGAAAACGUGAAUCGGCGCUUAGCGAAACAUAUUUUUGAAUGUAUGAAGGCAAGAAAUGUGAAGCUUGAUGACGACGUACGGUGACGUCACCUAAUCAUUCGAAACAA